GUUGCGCCAGUUCCAACGGCGUGAGGCCAAUCCGCGCGGCCACGUGACUGCAGUCGGUUGCUAGGAGACGGCGUCUAGCAGCUUGCCCUUGCUGCAAGGCUCAGGCUCCUGCUACUGCCUAGGCCUCUACCAGCUGCUGUGCUUCAAGCAGAAGGACGGGAUUUCUACAGACUAGGGCUCAACCGGCUGCCUACUUGGGAUCGGGGCGAGGUGGUGGGACCUCCCGCAGCCAUAAGAGCCUGGGGGCAACCAGGCAGAAACUGCUGGUGUGAUAACAGUUGGUGUCUGCCCAGGACACCCUCUCUCCUCUCUUCCUUCCCUUGCACAAGAAUUAGUACAGUUCCUACCUCAUCAUCUUCGUGAGGGUCGGUGAAUUAAUUUAUGUCCAUAAAGGAAAAAAGCGAGGGCUGGAGAGGUGAUUCCGUGAUUAAGAGCACUUGUUACUCUUUCAGAAGACCUGGGUUCAGUCCCCAGCACCCACCCGGUGUACAUGUACAUGUGAUCCGACCACACUCUUUUGUCCUCCGCAGGCGCCAGACACACGGCCUCACGCACAUACAGGCGGGUGGAUGCAUGUCCUACUAUGAGUGUGGAGGUGAGAGUGUGGAUGGUUCUCUCCUUCCAUCCAGGGUCCUGAAGCCUGGGAAAGGAAAGGAAGACAGGACCCCAAGUCAAGGAAAAGGCUUUCCAGCUGACAACUGAACAGCCUCCAUCAUGAGGAAAGCAGAGGCCGGACAACUGUGGAGCCCAGCAGUUCAAAGCCAGCCUGGGCAACCGAGCGAGACCUUGUCCAAAAGAGAGGGGGUCAGGGCCCAGUGUUAUAGCAUCUAUUUACCACAGCACAGACAAGGGACAAUAUCAUCAUAGCCUAAGUAAGGUUCCAAGCGAUCAGAGCUGUGCCUUGUGUAAGCGGCCCAUGCAUACAAGCUCUUUUCUUUCUUUCUUUUUUUUUUAAGAUACAUUUAUUUUAAUGAGUACACUGUAGCCAUCUUCAGACACACCAGAAGAGGGCAUCAGAUCCCAUUACAGGUGGUUAUGAGCCACCAUGAGGCUUCUGGGAUUUGAACUCAGUACCUCUGGAAGUUGCAGUCAGCACUCUUAACCAUUGAGCCAUCUCUCCAGCCUGCUCACGAACUUUUGUACUGUCAAUAUACCAGGAGCCAGCCACUUGACGUCCACUUGCUCAGCAUAGCAAAAGCUGGAGAGCAUUUGGUCUGGACAGUUAGCAGACAGUCUCCCUUGUGAGCGCUCUCAGGAGGAGGAAACUGCCCUGCCCGGGCUCUUGGGUGUGAGUCCUCUCAGGGCACAACUGCAACUUGUUCUGGUCUCCAGAAUAGAAGGCACAUGGGAACCUAUGAAACCGUCUGAGUGGACACAUGAUGACAUCCAGACCACAGAUCCCCAGAUAGGGUUUUCUUUCUAGGUAGAGGAAGAGAGUUUGGGGUGGGCGGAGGCCUAGUUUACUACCCCUUUUAAAGCACAACCCUCAACCCAGAAGGAAAGCCAUGACAAGUGUACCAUUGUAAUGGACCAACUAUUCUGUUUUUGUUUCUAGGCAGAAUAAUUCUGCAUAGUCCAGGCUGGCACUGAACUUGAGAGGGCCCCUGCUGUAUCCUCCUCAGGGCUGGGAUCAGAGGCACGUGCCUUUACAUGGGUCUGAUUAUGAUUUGUUAUAAAAGUUUAUUUAACUGACAUAAACGUUAUACACAUUGGCAAGGUAUUUCCACAAAUGGACAGCAACACAUCCUCGAAUGUUUAUAUCUUAGUCAUGUUUAUUUAGUUUAUGUUGAUAUGUAAGUCUGCAUGCCAUGCCCCUACAGGGAAGUAAGAGGAGGACCAACUUAUUUUUGAGCCAAGGUCUCUCCUUCUUUCUGCCAUUCUGAGCACACCGGGCUAGAAUCUGGGUGAUCCUCUAGUCUCUAUCUCCCACUCUCUGUGGGGGUGCUGGG
ensembl:lncRNA